CCUACGGGAGGCAGCAGUAGGGAAUAUUGCUCAAUGGGGGAAACCCUGAAGCAGCAACGCCGCGUGGAGGAUGAAGGUUUUCGGAUUGUAAACUCCUUUUGUUAGAGAAGAUAAUGACGGUAUCUAACGAAUAAGCACCGGCUAACUCCGUGCCAGCAGCCGCGGUAAUACGGAGGGGGCAAGCGUUACUCGGAAUCACUGGGCGUAAAGGGCGCGUAGGCGGGAUAGCAAGUCAGAUGUGAAAUCCUAUGGCUUAACCAUAGAACUGCAUUUGAAACUGUUAUUCUAGAGUAUGGGAGUGGUAGGUGGAAUUCUUGGUGUAGGGGUAAAAUCCGUAGAGAUCAAGAGGAAUACUCAUUGCGAAGGCGACCUGCUAGAACAUAACUGACGCUGAUGCGCGAAAGCGUGGGGAGCAAACAGGAUUAGAUACCCUAGUAGUC
rnacentral:rRNA from 1 species